rnacentral:rRNA from 1 species
UAGGGAAUCUUCGGCAAUGGGGGCAACCCUGACCGAGCAACGCCGCGUGAGUGAAGAAGGUUUUCGGAUCGUAAAGCUCUGUUGUAAGAGAAGAACGUGUGUGAGAGUGGAAAGUUCACACAGUGACGGUAACUUACCAGAAAGGGACGGCUAACUACGUGCCAGCAGCCGCGGUAAUACGUAGGUCCCGAGCGUUGUUCGGAUUUAUUGGGCGUAAAGCGAGCGCAGGCGGUUUAAUAAGUCUGAAGUUAAAGGCAGUGGCUUAACCAUUGUUCGCUUUGGAAACUGUUAAACUUGAGUGCAGAAGGGGAGAGUGGAAUUCCAUGUGUAGCGGUGAAAUGCGUAGAUAUAUGGAGGAACACCGGUGGCGAAAGCGGCUCUCUGGUCUGUAACUGACGCUGAGGCUCGAAAGCGUGGGGAGCAAACAGG